GUGGAGGCAAAGCUUAUAUAUAAAACCUUAGCUUAAUUGUACUAACUUGAUUACAUUGUGUGAACAUUCUUGAUAGUUACUUGUAACUGAUUAGAAACCUUACUAGGUAGACUUAAAUGAAGUUUAUGGAGUUCUGGAAUUUGGAGUGUCUACAUUCCCAUAAAAGCUAGAUUUAAAGAUAAGAUGCAUUCUAUAGGGAAUAGCUUAGUUUAUUUAGGACUUGGUGCUACACUGUGAAAAAGAUACUUUUAUUACAGAUGUUAUAAUUACUGAUUUUAUUGGACAAAAAACUGGGUUUAGCGUGUUCUCUGCUGCACUGAGACUGCAUCUAUUUGACAAACCUGGAGCAAAUUACCGUUGCUCAUUUGGUUUUUACCAAGAUGCAAAAGUAAAGUCAUUCCCUGCGCUUUCUGCCUGUCCCUCGCAUGACAGCCCAGAUUGAAUAAGGGUGUAUAUAUAUGUAUGUGUAUAGUUCAUAUCUUUGAAAUGGCUUGCAGCUAGCUAGUGGAGCUUGGUAUACUUGAGCAGUAGCCAUGACUUCUUUGCUGGCUGUUUUACCCUGCAAUGUUUUCCUAUCUGUAGGAUGUGGGUAACACGUACCUUCAAUGACUGCUUUACCACUUGUGAGAAAAGACGUAACCAUUGGAGGGAGGGAUGAGACUACAUGGUUGCACAAUAGGACAUCAAGUGAGAAUGCUGAAGAACGAGAGCCAGCUGGGUGAUUUCAAUCCACAGCAAAGCUAUAUGAAAACAAUUCUUGUACUGAAAAAUUCCCAACCACAUUGGGCCAGCUGCUGGGGCAAGCAGCAUGGCAGGCUGCCCUGGAGAGAGGAACCUGACUGACCACAGCUCUCAACUGUCUAAAAAUGACAGAGACAAGUAUCCGCCCUCUGUGCAAUUCUUCAGAAGCGCUCAGCUGUGAACAAUAAAUAAUACAGGAGCAUGAUUUGCUGGGGGGCAAUAUAAUGACUAAUAAAAUACCAUCUUUGUGAUGGUGACAUCUGAACGUGGGUAGGCAUAACUGACACAUGCAGGAGGUACGUUCAAGUGGAGCCAACUUCAAGCAGCUGGUGAAGACAAUCAGUAUCUAACAACACAGGGUAGGCUCUGAGGAGCAGCCACUGGGAUUUGAACAGCUAGUUAGCACCGUUCCCACUCCAAAUGAUGACACUCACUUCUGUGUCAAGGAAUCAGUGCCAGUGACACUGUUCUCAGAUGCACAUGUGACUCUCUCCCCACCUGAUUCUAAUAGUUACAUGCUGCUCCCUUGCAAGUACAGGAAAGAAAACUAAAUCAUCUCCUUUAAACAAGAAACUUCCUGGAAAAGCCCCACAGAGCUUAUCUUAGAACUCUCUAUCCCAGCCCCUCGUUCUGAAUUAAUGUAAUCGAAGAACUAUGCACGUUCCACGUUACGCCCACAUAGCAGCAUAACAAGGUAAGUUUGUACCCUCUAUAUACUCCAUGGAAACCAACACUGCUACACAUUUCACCACCUGCAUCAGGCAUUGUGUGGGCCUCAUCUACUUUUGUGCUUCCGUGUCAUUCUACCAGAUCACAGGCUAGUCUGUAUGUUGAAUCUAUGGUAGAGAUUUGGGUAAUUGAAGCUGCAUUGGUGUAAAUGGCCCCCAAGCAUCAGUAAACACUGUCCCGCUUGUCUGUCACCUUUAUCAUGAGCUCCCAGAGACUGAGACCUGCUUGUUUUAUUUGCAAAGGACCAAGCAUGCCACUGACGACUAGUGCUGAGGAGUGGGAUUUCUGACAAGUCAUUUCUGAAACAGCCCAAGAUUGUUUGUAGUGAAUACACAGAUCAUUUUGAAGUGGGGGGGUUUACACAUUUUCAACCAAUAGCUUAAUUUCACUUUUGGACAUAUGGUUUUUAAUCUAAUAGAGAGCUUAAAACAUUGAGCACAGCACACACGACAGCAGGGGUCCCAAUUGCUCAUUGCCCGAUUCACAUUUUGAUAAAAAAAAUCUUCUUGCAGGUUA